AUUGAACGCUGGCGGCAGGCCUAACACAUGCAAGUCGAACGGUAGCACAGAGAGCUUGCUCUCGGGUGACGAGUGGCGGACGGGUGAGUAAUGUCUGGGAAACUACCCGAUGGAGGGGGAUAACUACUGGAAACGGUAGCUAAUACCGCAUAACGUCGCAAGACCAAAGUGGGGGACCUUCGGGCCUCACACCAUCGGAUGUGCCCAGAUGGGAUUAGCUAGUAGGUGGGGGAAUGGCUCACCUAGGCGACGAUCCCUAGCUGGUCUGAGAGGAUGACCAGCCACACUGGAACUGAGACACGGUCCAGACUCCUACUGGAGGCAGCAGUGGGGAAUAUUGCACAAUGGGCGCAAGCCUGAUGCAGCCAUGCCGCGUGUAUGAAGAAGGCCUUCGGGUUGUAAAGUACUUUCAGCGGGGAGGAAGGCGGUGAAGUUAACAGCUUCACCGAUUGACGUUACCCGCAGAAGAAGCACCGGCUAACUCCGUGCCAGCCGCCGCGGUAA
rnacentral:rRNA from 1 species